GUUGGCCCCAAUAGGGCAUGCAACCAUAUAUAGGAGCUGCAUGCAGCAAGAGAUUGGAAUAAACUCCAUUUAUUCUCAGUUCUGAAACCUCUUGUGAAAGAUGUAAGAAAUGGAUGAAAUCUCACAUGUAUCCAGCUUAGAUGUAGUCUUUCUUAAUAUGAAGGUCAACAGAAUGAUGCUCCAUGCAUCGAUCCUCCAUCCACUCACCUGAACACUUUCUAUUCCAUGAACAUUGAACACGCUGAAGCACUAGGGUCCUUCAACCUUGAAUGAAAUUAAUGUUGUCGUUGCCAUAGUGACGUGAUUGAUAUACCCAAGGCUAUCACUGCUCCUACACUGAUCUGAGACGCCAUGAUGGCCUAUGCACUCUUUCGUGGUUGUACUAUUCUAAUCAUCGGGAUUUUGCACUCCAAGAUAACGGAAUCCACCGAUUCCACACCUAAAGAUUCCGAAGAGAGACUAAUCUCGUUACUUUUUGAUGAGCUGAUUGAUGGAUACGAUUCAAGAGUUCCACCAUAUGU